rnacentral:rRNA from 1 species
GACGAACGCUGGCGGCGUGCCUAACACAUGCAAGUCAACUUGAGGGAAGGAGCAAUCUGACCUGAUGGUGGCGCAAGGGUGCGUAACGCGUAAGUAACUUGCCCAAGGUAAGGAAUAACGUCGAGAAUCGGCGCUAAUACCUCAUAAUGCAGCGGAUCCGCAUGGAGUAUGUUGUUAAAGGUUUACCGCCCUUUGGGAUAGGCUUGCGUCUGAUUAGCUAGUUGGUGUGGUAAUGGCACACCCAAGGCUACGAUCAGUAACUGGUCUGAGAGGAUGAUCAGUCACACUGGAACUGAGACACGGUCCAGACUCCUACGGGAGCAGCAGUGAGG